rfam:Triticum aestivum genome assembly, contig: Triticum_aestivum_CS42_TGACv1_scaffold_177184_2DS
AUAAUACUCCCUCCAUCCCAAAAUUCUUGUCUUAGAUUCGUCUAGAUACGGAUGUAUCUAAUACUAAAACGUGAUUUGAUAUAUCCGUAUUUAGACAAAUUUUAAAUAAGAAUUUUGAGACGGAGGGAGUAUGAU